AUUGGGCAUAUGAUGAAUCUGAAUAUGUGUAAAUGGGUAAUUUGCAUCUGAAUUUCGUUGAUGUCAAUAUCACCUUAGAGAACUGAUGCCCUAA